CCCGGAAGUAGUUAUGGAACUCCGCUGAGAUACAGCGUACAGGGUUGUCUGCUGUUUUUCCGCUCUCACUGGUCCUGCCACUGCAGCCGCCAUGGGGAAGCGACAGCAUCAGAAGGACAAGAUGUACAUUACCUGUGCUGAAUACACUCACUUUUAUGGUGGCAAGAAACCAGAUCUCCCACAAACAAAUUUUCGUCGUUUACCUUUUGACCACUGCAG